UACGUAGGGUGCAAGCGUUAAUCGGAAUUACUGGGCGUAAAGCGUGCGCAGGCGGUUAUGUAAGACAGAUGUGAAAUCCCCGGGCUCAACCUGGGAACUGCAUUUGUGACUGCAUAGCUUGAGUGCGGCAGAGGGGGAUGGAAUUCCGCGUGUAGCAGUGAAAUGCGUAGAUAUGCGGAGGAACACCGAUGGCGAAGGCAGCCCCCUGGGCUAACACUGACGCUCAGGCACGAAAGCGUGGGGAGCAAACAGG
rnacentral:rRNA from 1 species